GAUGAACGCUGGCGGUGUGCCUAAUACAUGCAAGUCGUACGCAUUCUCGUUUCUGAUUGACGGUGCUUGCACCUAAUUGACGAGACAUUGGAAUGAGUGGCGGACGGGUGAGUAACACGUGGGUAACCUGCCCAGAAGCGGGGGAUAACAUUUGGAAACAGAUGCUAAUACCGCAUAAAAGUCAAAACCACAUGGUUUUGAUUUAAAAGAUGGCCUUUGUGCUAUCACUUCUGGAUGGACCCGCGGCGUAUUAGCUAGUUGGUAAGGUAACGGCUAAACAAGGCAAUGUGACGUGGCCGAACUGGGAGGUUGAUCGGCAACAAUGGGACUGAGACACGGCCCAUACUCCUACGGGAGGCAGCAGUAGGGAAUCUUCCACAAUGGGCGCAAGCCUGACGGAGCAACACCGCGUGAGUGAAGAAGGGUUUCGGCUCGUAAAACUCUGUUGUUAAAGAAGAACGUAUCUAAGAGUAACUGCUUAGGUAGUGACGGUAUUUAACCAGAAAGCCACGGCUAACUACGUGCCAGCCGCCGCCGUAA
rnacentral:rRNA from 1 species